CCUACGGGAGGCUGCAGUGGGGAAUAUUGGACAAUGGGGGGUACCCUGAUCCAGCCAUGCCGCGUGUGUGAAGAAGGCCCUCGGGUUGUAAAGCACUUUCAGUGAGGAAGAACGCCUGGUGGUUAAUACCCAUCAGGAAAGACAUCACUCACAGAAGAAGCACCGGCUAACUCCGUGCCAGCAGCCGCGGUAAUACGGAGGGUGCGAGCGUUAAUCGGAAUUACUGGGCGUAAAGCGCGCGUAGGUGGCUUGAUAAGCCGGUUGUGAAAGCCCCGGGCUCAACCUGGGAACGGCAUCCGGAACUGUCAAGCUAGAGUGCAGGAGAGGAAGGUAGAAUUCCCGGUGUAGCGGUGAAAUGCGUAGAGAUCGGGAGGAAUACCAGUGGCGAAGGCGGCCUUCUGGACUGACACUGACACUGAGGUGCGAAAGCGUGGGUAGCAAACAGGAUUAGAUACCCGUGUAGUC
rnacentral:rRNA from 1 species